AUCGCUAUUGGGCUUGGUGUUGGCUUCGGGCUACUACUUCUUGGCUUAAGUGCAAUGUUAUCCCGUAGAUGGAGAAGAGACAUCCAAAAGAAACUGAGAAGAAAAUGUUUUGCAAAGAAUCAUGGCCUCCUUCUAGAACAAUUAAUUUCAUCGAGUGAAGAUGCAAGUGAAAGGACAAAGAUUUUCACUCUAGAAGAGUUAGAGCAGGCAACAAACAACUUUGAUCACACACGGAUCCUUGGCUGUGGAGGGCAUGGCAUGGUCUACAAAGGCAUCUUAUCUGAUCAGCAUGUGGUGGCUAUAAAGAAAUCUAAGGUCAUUGAGCAAGUUGAGAUUGAGCAAUUCAUCAAUGAGGUUGUCAUCCUUUCACAGAUUAACCACAGAAAUGUUGUAAAGCUUUAUGGCUGUUGCCUUGAAACUGAGGUCCCACUAUUAGUGUAUGAUUUUGUUCCUAAUGGUUCCUUGUUUGAAAUCCUUCAUUCUGGUCCAAGCAACGGUUUUACUUUGUCCUGGGAUGGUUGCCUAAGAAUUGCUGCACAGGCUGCAGGUGCUCUCUAUUAUCUCCACUCCGCAGCGUCCAUAUCAGUCUUCCACCGUGAUGUCAAGUCUUCUAAUAUACUCCUAGAUGCAAACUACACUGCAAAAGUUGCUGACUUUGGUGCAUUGCUGUUCAAACGCCGCGACCAGACUCAUGUUACAACACACGUACAAGGCACAUUUGGGUACUUGGAUCCGGAGUAUUUUCGCACUGGGCAUCUAACUGAAAAGAGCGAUGUGUACAGCUUCGGUGUCAUGCUUUUAGAGCUACUUCUCAGAAGGAAGCCUGUUUUAGAGCUACUUCGGUGUCACCGCAAACAACCAAAGAUGUUAUAG
rnacentral:rRNA from 1 species